AUCUAUACAUAUAAUAAAAUCGUAGAAAAGUGCUGUCUGUACAUUGAAAAUAAAAAUAAAAAAAAUAGCAGGGGUUAUUUUUAUGUCGAUGUCGAACCCAAAAAUGUAAUUAACUUUUUUUUGUCUGUUUGUCUGUUUGUCUGUUUGUCUGUUUGUCUGUUUGUCUGUUCGUCUGUGCGCGAUAAUCUCAGAAACGGCUGAUCCGAGUUGGAUGCGGUUUUCACGAAUAUAUUGUGGAAUGCUUAAAUUUACAUUUAGUGUUUGUUUCAUGUAUCGGUUCAUAAAUAAAAAAGUUAUGUCAAAUUAAAGAAUCACGUCGAACAUUCUAUGCUUAUACCAUUAAUCUCCGCAACUAUUUGACGGAUUUGGUUGAAAUUUGGUACAGAUAUAGUUUAGAACCUUAGAAAGGACAUAGAUAUAUUUUUAUUUCAAAAAUCAAAAAAUAAAAAUAAGAAAUAAAUUAUUUAUAAAUAAUUCUAUGUCGAUCGUUACACGACUUCGGUUCAUGUUAUUGUUUUAAUUCAUCGAAAAAAAGUAAAUAAAUAGUAAAAAGGUAUGAAAAAAAUAAUAUCAAUAUAAUUAAACUUUUAGUACAAAGAAAAUGCCCGAACGGAGUAUAAAUAAAUAAUCCAAGUUGUCUUUAUCCUCGAUAGAUGGCGUUGGGAUCGAAAUACUAUGGUUUCGUUACAUUCAUUUGGUUGGGUAUCGGCCGAGCGCUUCGGUACCGUACUAUCGUAGAAAAAGUGUAUUAUCAGUCGUAUGAUUAUUUGUCUGUAGUGGUCCUGCUGUUUCGUAUAUUCUAAAUUGGUUUCGUUGUAUUUGUCAAUUAAUAAGUUUAUUUGUUGGGUUUUCCUGGUUUUUUGGUUAAACUAUUUAACGUAGGUUUAGUUUGAUAUCGAUUAUUAGUAGUUACUGUAGUUAGUUUUUUUAAUAAAAUUGUAAGUCUAAUUUUUUUUUUAAUUAGAUUAGAUUUAAGUCGUUUCUUUUAAAUUAUUUAGUUUAAGCUUUGUUAUUAUAGCAUAGAGGAUAGGUUGUAAUAUAGUUUCUUUUUUAAUUGUUAUAAAUUCGUAAUUCGUAGCUUUCUUUAGUUUUAAGUUCGUUUAAGUCCGUUUUUAAACUAUUUUUUCAAUGCCCUAAGUGAGUAUACAUCUAUUAAAUUCAAACGCAGAGCUCAUUAUGUUGAUUUUUGAAGAGUUCCCUGGAAUAUCUUCCACAUCUCAUUUUUGAAGAGAUCCCGCGAGAUCGGGAACUAUGUGGUUAAAACCAAAAAUUUGCCGGAAGUCACUAUUCCACGCGAACGAAGUCGCGGGCAAAAGCUAGUUAAAAAUAAAAAUUAAUAAA